AUUGAACGCUGGCGGAAUGCUUUACACAUGCAAGUCGAACGGUAGAGGGGGCAACCCCUCGAGAGUGGCGAACGGGUGAGUAAUAUAUCGGAACGUGCCCAGUCGUGGGGGAUAACGUAGCGAAAGUUACGCUAAUACCGCAUACGAUCUAAGGAUGAAAGCGGGGGGUCGCAAGACCUCGCGCGAUUGGAGCGGCCGAUAUCAGAUUAGGUAGUUGGUGGGGUAAAGGCUCACCAAGCCAACGAUCUGUAGCUGGUCUGAGAGGACGACCAGCCACACUGGAACUGAGACACGGUCCAGACUCCUACGGGAGGCAGCAGUGGGGAAUUUUGGACAAUGGACGCAAGUCUGAUCCAGCCAUUCCGCGUGCAGGGUGAAGGCCCUCGGGUUGUAAACUGCUUUUGUACGGAACGAAGAGGUCUCUCUUAAUACGGGGGACUCAUGACGGUACCGUAAGAAUAAGCACCGGCUAACUACGUGCCAGCCGCCGCGGUAA
rnacentral:rRNA from 1 species